AAAGGCCACAUUUGCUCAGAGAAAGAUGAGAUCACCACCUGCGUGAGUUUCAGGGAUGGCCAGAGAAUGGCCUCUUCAGAUGACUUGGGUCCACCCUCAGGAGGUGACAGAUUGUCUGAAAAGAAGCGAAGCAAGUUUCCUACAAUGAAAAGAACUACCCUAUGGAGCCCAUACUUCUGCUUGAGGCAAAUGUGUUUAAAACGUCAUUCAGUCAUGUCUGACUCUUUGCGACCCCAUGGACUGCAACACAUCAGGCCUUCCUG